rnacentral:ribozyme from 13 species
UAUAAAUAUAAUAAAAGAGAAAUAAGGAUUUAACAAAAAAAGAAAAAACAUAAAAUGAUAUAUGUGAGUGGAAGAUCUGUUUUGUUUUUGUUUUUGUUUGUUUUUCUUUUUUGUUCAAAAGUGUUUAUAGAAAACACAAAAGAAUAUUUGACAAUAUUCUCUUUCCAUCUAACAACAAUAUAUAUCAAUAGGUUCUUCUUCUUCUUCUUUUCCUCUCUAUAUAUCGAGAGAAAGCAGCCUCUCAAUGGUGUUCCAGAUAGAAAAAAA